CCGUGCAGCCGGGGUGUUAGCGGUACCUUGUACCUGCAAUCCGCUAUAGCAGGGGUGAUAUUACGCAGAGGGUGCAGCAUUGCAUAGCUGCCCUCGGAAAGUGGCGUUGAGAUUUGGGUCCUACGCGACGGGAAUCUGUGAACCGUGUCAGGUCGGGAACGAAGCAGCACUAAGCAGAACCUCUCGGGUGCCGUAGGGGUGCCUGGGUUGAGUUAACUACCGAGGUAACGUAUGGGGUGAUGCAUUCGAAGCGUAAUGCACGA
rfam:Ruminococcus gnavus CAG:126 genomic scaffold, scf60